AUGGCUAUCCUGCUUCCUGUCCUCCUUCCGUCGCUCGCCUUCUUCCCGGGUGCUAAGUUGUAUCGCGAGAUUUCGGCCUCGCUAUUACCUGGGCCGCGGGGAUUGCUCACCCUUUUUUUCUGCGCGGUUGGAAGACGCAAGGUGGUUCUCGGGAGUUGGAGAACUGAGGUCGGGAUAUUGGGUCUUGCUCUGUCGUCCAGGCUGGAGUGCACUGGUGCAAUCUCGGCUCACUGCAAAGCGAUCCUCCGGCGUGGCUGGGAGCACAGCCACAGGGCCACCACACCAGGCCAGUAUUUUAAGAAUUUUUUUUUUUUAUAGAGACAGGGGCUCCUUGUGUUGCUGAGGCCCACUGCAAACAACCUCCAUCUCCCAGGCUCAGGUAAUCGACCUACCUCAAUACCUCAGCCUCCUUAUUGGGACCAUAGGCGCGUACCAUCAACAUGGCUAAUUUUUGUAUAUUUUGUAGAGACUGGGUCUUGUUGGUCUUGAGCUCCUUGGUUCAAGUGAUCCGCCCGCCUCGACUUCCCAAAGUGCUGGGUUACACAGGCAUGAGCCAUCCUGACCAGCCUGUUUUUCUUACAAGAAGGAAUCGUUUUCUUUUUUUUGUAUGUUGCCUUUUUUUUUUUUUUUGUAUGUUGUAUACUCUACUAUGGAGAUGAAGAGACAGAAUUAUGAUAGUUUAUCGAAAAAGGUUGAGAAUUCAGAAUUUGUCAGUUUCCACCAAUAAUGGCAAAGAUACAGUAUGACGAAAUUAAGUUACUUAAAUGAAUCUAGGAAUGAAUGAGGAAUCUUAGAAUUUAAAAUGGUCUAUUGAAUUUGAUCAGGAGUUUAAAAUGGUCUAUUGAAUGGAGAUCGUUUUCCUGGUUUAUUAUAUAGGGCACAUUUUGCCUUAGCAAUUCCCCUUCGAUGUAGGAAAAUGGCUUUUAAUUGUACAUUAAUACUGUGUUGGUAAUUAUAUGUUAAUAUGUGGCUAAUGAUAAAACUUCAUAUUGAAAGAGGCUUUUGUCCACCUUGUCUUUUUUGGAAUCUUGUUUCAUUGAAUAGAUUUAGAGGGUAAAAACUGAAAAUCUGGAAAUAGAAUUUCUGGAUUUUUUUUUUAUAUAGAAAUUGAUCUGAAGUGGAUAAGCAGCUUAAGCCUGGUAAAUGAUUUUGUCCAAAAUGAAUGGCAUAGUCUGACUGUGUUGAACAUUAUAGUAGAUACUGUGUCAAUAUUUAGGGAAGCUUUGUCACAUUU
rnacentral:lncRNA from 13 species